rnacentral:rRNA from 1 species
CAGCCGCCGCGGGAAAACAGAGGGUGCGAGCGUUAAUCGGAUUUACUGGGCGUAAAGCGUGCGUAGGCGGCUUCUUAAGUCGGAUGUGAAAUCCCUGAGCUUAACUUAGGAAUUGCAUUCGAUACUGGGAAGCUAGAGUAUGGGAGAGGAUGGUAGAAUUCCAGGUGUAGCGGUGAAAUGCGUAGAGAUCUGGAGGAAUACCGAUGGCGAAGGCAGCCAUCUGGCCUAAUACUGACGCUGAGGUACGAAAGCAUGGGGAGCAAACAGGAUUAGAUACCCGAGUAGUCCCUGUCUCUUAUAC